UUCAUCACUGAACGAAGUGGUGAAAAGAAUACAACGACGACGAACUAUUAAUUCAUUUUUCACGAUCUUUUGCAUUUUGCUUUGAUUCCCAGCUAAAACAAAUUCGUAAAGUUUCUCCUUAACGCUAUACCGCACAAUUUACGCUUAAAGGCAAUACAGUAAUUAGUGUUGUGAUUAUUUAUUAUACAUUCAAAGCGAGUGACGCACAAAAUUCAUAACAGCAAAAUUGGAAAAUAUGGAGACCCCAAAUGAUAUAGCCGCACCAUCUGGAUCAACCGAUUUUCCUGUUUUACCCCCGCCUCCAAACUCUGCAACUCCCAGCAAUAAUAAUCAAGCGCAGAAGCGGUUGCAACAAACCCAAGCCAAGGUCGAUGAAGUGGUCGGCAUUAUGCGAGUGAAUGUAGAGAAAGUGCUGGAGCGCGAUCAGAAACUGUCGGAAUUGGGUGAGAGAGCCGAUGCGUUGGAGGCUGGCGCCUCGCAAUUCGAGCAACAAGCUGGCAAAUUGAAGCGCAAACAAUGGUGGGCCAACAUGAAAAUGAUGAUUAUUAUGGGCGUGAUCGGAGUGGUUCUCUUAAUUAUCAUAAUCGUUAUGCUAUUUAAUUAAUUGCCACCAGUUUUCAAAGUCUUAUAAUCAGCAUUUUAAGUAAUAUGCAUAAAUAUACAUAUGUUCGUUAUAAGUGUGCGUAUGUGUGUGUACUGCUUUCAGUUUCUAUAAUUUUUAAUAUAAAAAAGUAGAGAAAGGUUCAGGUUUACCCAGCACAAUACGUCCGUAAGCCAUUUUCUUCAAUGUUUUCCUUCCUGCCAUCCAGUGGCAGCAGCUCCAAUACAAACAACGAAAUCCAAAACACUUCUUCAAAACCUUAAAUAAGCUCAGGUGACCGCAGUGGCCUUACGGUUCAUAAUUGUUUUGGUUGAACGUCGCUGAAUUCGUAAUUUUCAAGCACAAAAUGCCAGCACACUUUCAAUAUGCAUUGAACCGUUUUUGAGAUGUCUUAAAUCAGUAUACACUUAACUAUAUAUACAACUAAUUUACAAAAUGUAUGCCUUACAUAUUUAACUGAUAAUUGAAUGAAAUUGGAAUUGGAAUUGUAAAAAAUGUA